CCGAGUUAGGGGUACAAGUCCUGCAGAAUUGCGUUCCUCUGGACCUAAGCAUAGUGCCGAAAGGCCCGCGACGACACUCGGCGUUAGAGGGGAGAGUGCCAGACGUGGUGUCUCCUCUGACG
rnacentral:sRNA from 12 species